rnacentral:lncRNA from 1 species
CUGGAAAAGGAUCAUGGGCGUGGCUGGGCCAGGCAGCACCAUGAGGGCAUCAGCCUCAGGUGGAGCAGGUCCUGGUCAAAGAGCUCCGUGGUCCAGGCCAAGCUGCUAGAGCAGAGCCCGAGGCCCCUGGCAGUGCGGUGUGGGGACCGUCAGCACGCACUGGCUUACGUUCUAGACUCUACGUUCACUUUAGAGGAAAAUUUUAGCAGGAGGAAAGAUUUUGUCAGGCUGAAUUGAUCCAGUUGUGUUUCCAGGGCAUCCAAGCCUCUCCCUGCGGCCCUGGCCCGCCUCCUCCCCAUGCACCAGGCUCUGGCUCCCGGGUACUCCUCCUGCCAUGGGGCCCACGCAGCAGCUACAAUGCAUGCUUUGUUCAGGGAGCCCUGGGGAGGCAGCUGGCUACAAAAAAGUUCAUCCACUAACUGGGCUUGUCCUUGACAUCUGGCUUCUCUCCUAGGACCUCAUUUUCCCCAACUUAAGUGGGAUUUUGAAUUAAUGAAAUUAUAGCCCUUUGAACUGACUUGAGAAUUCUCUCCCAGGCUCAAAUUACAUCUCCACUCAGUGUGUCUAGAUGGCUCCAACACUUUCACAGAUCAUCCCCUCCCAACCCCUAGGAGAUCAUCUACAUUGCUGUUUUCCAGUUGUAGAAGAAUGUGAUUCAAUAGAACCUACUGCCUGAGACAGUGAUAGCAUGUGUGCAUUUAUUGAGAGCACUAUACUAGGCAUUUUAUACUAAUUUUCUCUAAAAUUCACAACCCAUAAGGUAAAUAAUGAUACAAUAUCCCAAUUUUUCUGACAAGGAGACCAAAGCUUUUGUCUACAGUUACUCAGCUAGAGGGUGGCAGAAGCUAGAUUUGAACCCAUAUCCCUCUAAUGCUAAAGCCUGUGAGACUCCACGGUGUCCCUCUAAGUCACAAGUUGUCUGUGAGUGUAUAUUUACAAACACAUGUGGACAAAAAUUUUGAUAGUAGCAUCCACAAACGUCACAUUGAGAUGUGAAACAGGCCUCUAAUAAAUCAGAUCGGGAUAUCUUCUUUGCUUCUCACCUGGCAUGAUGCUGGGUUUGUGGCAAGAUACAAAUAUGUAUAAAGUUGGCCUCCUGUUGCCUCAACACGAGAUGCCUUUACAUCCUAAAAUUGCUAUUACUUAAGUUAAAAUACAUCACACAGUCUACUUCAGCCUGCUUCAGGUCAACUUGUGGUUGUCACAGGGGCCAGCCUCAGAGGUAGACAGAGUUUAGACUUUUCAGUCUUACCCCCAGUGUCCUUCUUCUCUCACUGGGAAUUUCCCUUUGAUAUUCCCACCAAAUACCCUUGCCCUGGAUGGAGUCAUAUUCUCUGAAGUAUCUUCCAUUCAAGGGUCCUAAGAGUCAAGGUCAUUCCUGAUGGAAACACACGCCUAGGAAAAGAAAAUCAACCCUCAAUGUGAUCUAGGUCCUUUAGAUCUAAUUUCCACUUUUUAAAAAAAUCCAAGGGUCAGAGGGACAUGUUAAAUGACACCAUAAGAACAUAGCAGCAAGUCCAGACUGGGGGAAACUGCAGGACAAAUGACCUGGUUUCUUCUCCAAUAAGAAUUUGUAAAGAAAAAAAGGCCAAGUGUAGGUGCCCAUGCCUGUAAUCCUAGCACUUUGGGAAGCUGAGGUGGCGGGAUCGCUCGAGCUCAGGAGUUCAGCCUGGGCCACAUAAUGAGACCUCAUCUCUACUAAAAAUUAAAAAAAAAUUCACUGGGCAUAGUGGCACCCACCUGUAGUCCUGGCUGUUUGGGAGCCUGAGGUGGGAAGAUUGCUUGAGCCCAGGAGGUUGAGGCUGCAGUGAGCCGUGAUUGUGCCACUGCACUCCAGCCUGGGGGACAGAAUGAAACUGUAUUGAAGAAGAAGAACAAGAACAAGAAGAAGAAGAAGAAGAGGAAGAGGAAGAGGAAGAGGAGGAAGAGGAGGAGGAGGAGGAAGAGGAAGAGGAAGAAAGAAGAAGAAGAAGGAGGAUUUAUAGAAUAUGUAGAUAGAAAGAAACUUCAGAGACAAAUCAACCAAUCUCAGUAUAUGAAUCUCUUAUUAAAUCCAGAGUCAAACAAAUGAAGUACAAAUUACAAGACAAUUGGGAAAAUGCAAACACUGGCUGGGUAUAUUAUGAGACUAAG